GAUAAGCGAGAAGCGAGAGACGAGAGAGCGGGCGGGCGGGCGUCUGAACUGUGUGUGCGGGCGACUGACUGAAGCCUGUUGUGCACUGCACUGACUAGAUCGCAGUUCGCGACAGGCGACAACGUCAGCUUUCAGGUCUUGAUCGUGAACCCGUCGGACUAUCGCUAUCAGUUUCUCUGUUUUGCUACUCCAGUAGUUGCUGUAGUGGUAGAUCUAGUUCCUCUGUGUUGUAUUCCAUGUAAGUGUGAUUGUAGAACAUAUCGGAUCAAUUCUCUCUAGUUACAUUUGUGAUAUUAUUGCAGUUACUAUUCUCGCCGAGGAUUGGCGAGGGAGUUAAAUCAGUGACUUCUACAGAGCGCUUCUUUUCUUCAAAGACGGUUCUGAGAUACAUCGGAACGUUCAGCCAGGCAACCAGUUGCAAGUUCGUUGGAUACAAUACACCCAAAAGGGGAGUUCAAACGACACGGCCGUUAGCGAGGCAGUGGUGCUGUUGUGGAAUCGCCUUUCGGUCACGAUAAACUUGCGGAGCGGAUAGUUAAAGGGCACCACUGGUGAGUCCUGAUUAUGUUCUUUUCCUUCUACUGUAUCAGUUUGUCUAUCUUGUCCGGUCCUUUUCAAUUUAGAUAGGUUUGUUGUUGUUGUUUGUUUGUUUUUCUUCCAAGGACAAAAAUUUGAUUAAUUAGGAGGCGCCCUUUGACCCUGCCUCUCAGGGCCAACCUGGGCUAAGAGGAUGAAAACAUUCCUGCAGAACGACCGAUACUUGAUAUUUAAGAUUCUCCUCUCUCGGGAUAUCGAACCAGGUUCUCUUGCGUGCAAAAGGCAAGCGCAUAACCACAACAGCAUAGACGCCGGUUCUUGCCUCGCUACAUGGCAAGUGUAUUGUAGAUUUGCUCUAUUUCCGUAUACCAAGAGUCAAUCCGUGGUGGCUUUCGUGGCCUAGAGGUUAAGGUGUUCGCUUCUCAUUCAAAAGGUCCCGGGUUCGAAUUCGGGAAG